rnacentral:misc_RNA from 1 species
GAUGAAGAACGUAGCGAAAUGCGAUAAGUAGUGUGAAUUGCAGAAUUCAGUGAAUCAUCGAAUCUUUGAACGCACAUUGCGCCCUUUGGUAUUCCAAAGGGCAUGCCUGUUCGUGCGUCAUUUGUACCCUCAAGCUUUGCUUGGUGUUGGGCGUCUUGUCUCUAGCUUUGCUGGAGACUCGCCUUAAAGUAAUUGGCAGCCGGCCUACUGGUUUCGGAGCGCAGCACAAGUCGCACUCUCUAUCAGCAAAGGUCUAGCAUCCACUAAGCCUUUUUUUCAACUUUUGACCUCGGAUCAGGUAGGGAUACCCGCUGAACUUAAGCAUAUCAAUAAGCGGAGGA